rnacentral:rRNA from 1 species
CUCCUCCUAAAGAGUAACGGAGGAGCACGAAGGUUGGCUAAUCCUGGUCGGACAUCAGGAGGUUAGUGCAAUGGCAUAAGCCAGCUUGACUGCGAGCGUGACGGCGCGAGCAGGUGCGAAAGCAGGUCAUAGUGAUCCGGUGGUUCUGAAUGGAAGGGCCAUCGCUCAACGGAUAAAAGGUACUCCGGGGAUAACAGGCUGAUACCGCCCAAGAGUUCAUAUCGACGGCGGUGUUUGGCACCUCGAUGUCGGCUCAUCACAUCCUGGGGCUGAAGUAGGUCCCAAGGGUAUGGCUGUUCGCCAUUUAAAGUGGUACGCGAGCUGGGUUUAGAACGUCGUGAGACAGUUCGGUCCCUAUCUGCCGUGGGCGCUGGAGAACUGAGGGGGGCUGCUCCUAGUACGAGAGGACCGGAGUGGACGCAUCACUGGUGUUCGGGUUGUCAUGCCAAUGGCACUGCCCGGUAGCUAAAUGCGGAAGAGAUAAGUGCUGAAAGCA